rnacentral:rRNA from 1 species
AUUAACAUAAAGAGUCGAACCUGCCCAAUGAUAUUUUUAAAUGGCCGCGGUACUCUGACCGUGCAAAGGUAGCAUAAUCAUUUGCCUUAUAAUUGAAGGCUAGUAUGAACGGUUUGACAAGAGUAGCACUGUCUCUACUAAAUUUUAUAGAAUUUGGUUUUUAGGUGAAGAAACCUAAAUAAAAUUGAAAGACAAGAAGACCCUAUCGAGCUUUAAAAAAUUUUUCUUAAAGAUUUUAGUUGGGGCGACUAAGGAACAACAAAAGCUUCUUUUAUUAUAUAUAAACUUAUAUGUUUUGAUCCAAAAAAAUGAUUAAUAGAAUUAGUUACCGUAGGGAUAACAGCAUAAUCUUUUUUGAGAGUUCUUAUCGAAAAAAAGGUUUGUGACCUCGAUGUUGGACUAGGAUAUCCUAAAGGUGUAGAAGCCUUUAAAGGUUGGUCUGUUCGACCAUUAACA